rnacentral:rRNA from 1 species
GACGAACGCUGGCGGCGUGCUUAACACAUGCAAGUCGAGCGGAAAGGCCACUUCGGUGGUACUCGAGCGGCGAACGGGUGAGUAACACGUGAGUAAUGUGCCCUGGACUCUGGGAUAAGCGUUGGAAACGACGUCUAAUACCGGAUACGCGACGCGAAGGCAUCUUCAGCGUCGGGAAAGAACUUCGGUCCAGGAUCAUC